AAUACAGUAUGUUUUGCUAGUUGAUCUACAAUUUAAUUUACUUUCGAUACUUAUGAGCAAUGAAUACUAGGUUCGAUUCAUAACACAAAAUUGUCCAGAAAUUUAAGCGGUUAACUGGAGUUGUAAGCUUUUUCAGAAUAGUACAAAAUUGUAUAAAAGAUUUGUAAGAGAAAAUUGUACAAAAAAAGGUAAGAGUAAAAAAAUUUGUACCGUAUUUGAUAAAACUUUUGUGGUUGAUAACUGUCAAAACUAUUCAAAGUGGUACCUCUUUGAUAAGGGCAUCACCCUAACACUAUUUUAGUGUU
rnacentral:sRNA from 1 species